ensembl:lncRNA
UGAUAGCAUUAGGUGAUAGUAGUAGUUGAUAGAUGUAGGUGAUAGUAGUAAAUGACAGUAGUAGGAUAUAAUAGUUGAUGAUAGUAGUAGUUGAUAGUUGUAGGUGACAGUAGGAGUUGAUAGUUGAAGGUGAAAGUAGUAUGUGAUUGUAGUAGAUGAUAGUAGUAGGUGAUAGUAGUUGAUGACAGUAGUAGGAGGCAGUAGCAGAUGACAGUAGAAGGUGACAGUAGUAGAUGACAGCAGUUGGAGAUAUUAGUCGGCGAUAGAUGUAUUAGAUAGUUGUAGGUGAUAGCAGUAGGUUAUAAUAGUAGGUGAUAGAAGUUGUUGAAAAUAGUAGAUUAUAGUAGUAUAUGAUAGUAGUAGGUGAUAGUAGUAGAUGACAAUAGUAGAUGGCAGUCGUAGAUGACAGUAGAAGGUGACAGCAGUAGAUGAUAGUAGUAGGUGAUAGUAGUAUAUGACAGCUGUAGGCGAAAGUAGUAAGUUAUAGUUGUAAGCGAUCGUUGCAGGUGAUAGUAGUUGGUGAUAACAGUUGGUGAUAGAAGUAGGUGAAAAUAGUAGAUUUUAGUCGUAUAUGAUAGUAGUAGGUGAUAGUAGUAGAUGACAGUAGUAGAUGGCAGUAGUAGAUGACAGUAGAAGUUGACAGCAGUAGAUGAUAGUAGUAGGUGAUAGUAGUAGAUGAUAGUAGUAGAUGACAGUAGUAGAUGGCAGUAGUAGAUGACAGUAGAAGGUGACAGCAGUAGAUGAUAGGUGUAGAUGAUAUCAGGAGGCGAUAGCAGUAGGUGAUAGUUGUAGGCAAUAGUUGUAGGUUAUAGUAGUAGGUGUUAGUAGCUGAUGAUAGUUGUAGGUGAUAGUAGUAGGUGAGAGUAGUAGAUGAUAGAAGUAGCUGAUAGUAGUAGAUGAUAAUAGUAGGUAACAGUAGUAGGUGAUAGUAGUAGAUAAUAUUUGUAGAUGAAAGUUGUAGGUGAUAGUGGUAAGUAAUAGUAGUAGAUGACAGUAGUAGAUGACAGUGGUAAGUGAUAGUACUACGAGAUGUUAGUAGGUGAUAAUAGAAGGUGAUUGUGGUAGAUGAUUGUAGUAGAUGAUUGUCACGAUCGUCGUAAGAAGCGGACCAAUGCGCAGCGUGGUGUGAAUGCAUGAAUUAAUGAAGACGGAAAAAACACGAAAUACACUAAAACAAACAAACAAACUAACCAGACGAACGUGACCGCUAUAGAAACAGAGUGCUAACAUGCAACAUCACAUAGACAAUAACCCACGAAAUACCCAAAGAAGAUGGC